rnacentral:rRNA from 1 species
GACGAACGCUGGCGGCGUGCUUAACACAUGCAAGUCGAACGAUGAAGCCGGAGCUUGCUCUGGUGAAUUAGUGGCGAAAGGGUGAGUAACACGUGAGUAACCUGCUCUUGACUCUGGGAUAACUGCGGGAAACUGUAGCUAAUACCGGAUACGACCAUCGGAGGCAUCUCCUGGGGGUGGCAAGAAUUGCGGUCAAGGAUGGACUCGCGGCCUAUCAGCUAGUUGGUGAGGUAAAGGCUCACCAAGGUGACGACGGGUAGCCGGCCUGAGAGGGUGACCGGCCACACUGGGACUGAGACACGGCCCAGACUCCUACGGGAGGCAGCAGUGGGGAAUAUUGCACAAUGGGCGCAAGCCUGAUGCAGCAACGCCGCGUGAGGGAUGACGGCCUUCGGGUUGUAAACCUCUUUUAGCAGGGAAGAAGCGAAAGUGACGGUACCUGCAGAAAAAGCACCGGCUAACUACGUGCCAGCCGCCGCAGUAA